CCUGAGGUACUCUGUUUGCUAUCUUCUGAAAAGACACCAGUCUUGGGCUCCAAAUUAUUUGCUUCAUCGUCUUUCAAGGGAGCACUUUUUGAGACGACGCUAUUGCAGAAGUACCAACACGACGACAUGACUAGUGGAGCCAUAGAGCGAAGCAUUUGAAAGGGAUUGAGGCCAAAAGUCCAUUCUUCGUAUGUACACAUAUAGGAUAAUUAGAAGUAAAAAAAUUAAAACGAAAUGUAGUGUUACUGGGUCUCUGAAAUGGAAUUGUACUCACGACCCCUUUUUUUGUUCAAGGAGUGUAGUCCUAGAGCAGUGGACUAUAUAAGGGCGGCAAUAUUUAAAUCCCCCCAAAAGUUGUAAUCUAACAUUUGUUAAUUUUUCAACCUGUAGUUAAUUUUACUCCUUAUUUCGUAGCAUUUUAAUUGUUUUCAAGAUAUAUAGUACAGUUCUUUGUAAUAAAAAGACGAAAAUAGA